UACAGAGGUCUCAAGCGUUGUUCGGAAUCACUGGGCGUAAAGGGUGCGUAGGUGGCGUGGUAAGUCAGAUGUGAAAGCCCGGGGCUCAACCUCGGAAUAGCAUCCGAUACUGCCAUGCUGGAGUACUGAAGAGGUGACUAGAAUUCUCGGUGUAGCAGUGAAAUGCGUAGAUAUCGAGAGGAAUACCAACGGCGAAGGCAGGUCACUGGGCAGUUACUGACACUGAGGCACGAAGGCCAGGGGAGCAAACGGG
rnacentral:rRNA from 1 species